CUUUCUGGCUGUGGAGUCAUUUUUUCCUUUCCUGCCUUUGAAAAAUAACCUUCAGAAAACAAAUUUGAAUAUGGAUAGUGUAGUCAACAUUUGAAAACAUACUAAAUAUCACUAAAAGUGGAGAAAAACUGGAAUGAGCUUUCCAGAUUCAAUUUUUAUCUGCAUAUGUAAUUACAAAGCAACUUAAACACUAAGUGAAUUCAGAAACUAUAGUACAUUCACGAUAACUGCCUUGAAUGUGGUGGCAUUUCUGCAUCUUGAGGUAGUGAGCACCUUCUCUCGCCUGUAUAAUCAGUUUUUAAAAGUUUAAUUUUAUUUGACAAUAUUUGCUAGAUAAGGACCACAGUUUUUUGUUUUUUUUUUAAAGCUUUGAGGGGACCGGGGUGCGGUGACUCACGCCUGUAAUUCCAGCACUUUAGGAGGACGAGGCGGGAGGAUCACUUGAGCCCAGGAGAACAGCCUGGGCAACGUAGCAAAACAUCAUCUCUACAAAAAAUACAACAAAGAUAAUAGCUGGGUAUGGUGGCCGUGCCUGUAGUCCCAGCUACUCAGGAGGCUGAG
rnacentral:lncRNA from 1 species